rnacentral:rRNA from 1 species
UACGAAGGGGGCUAGCGUUGCUCGGAAUCACUGGGCGUAAAAGCGCACGUAGGCGGAUCUUUAAGUCAGGGUGAAAUCCUGGAGCUCAACUCCAGAACUGCCUUUGAUACUGGGAUCUCGAGUCCGGGAGAGGUGAGUGGAACUCCGAGUGUAGAGGUGAAUUCGUAGAUAUCGGAAGAACACCAGUGGCGAAGGCGCUCACUGGCCCGGUACUGACGCUGAGGUGCGAAAGCGUGGGGAGCAAACAGG